CCUGGAGGCACUAGCGCGGUGGUCCCACCUGACCCCAUGCCGAACUCAGAAGUGAAACGCCGUAGCGCCGAUGGUAGUGUGGGGUCUCCCCAUGCGAGAGUAGGGAACUGCCAGGC
rnacentral:rRNA from 2 species